rnacentral:hammerhead_ribozyme from 1 species
AUCCAGGUGGCAAGUCCCAAAUAGGACGAAACGUGCGUCCUGGAU